rnacentral:tRNA from 1 species
GGAGAGUUGGCCGAGUGGCUGAAGGCGCUCCCCUGCUAAGGGAGUAUGGGGUUAAUAGCUCCAUCGAGGGUUCGAAUCCCUCACUCUCCG